UGAGACUGCAAUGACGAUUCUAAGCUCCCUCUACUUAAAUCUCUUGAGGAUAAUUGCUGGCAGAAUCGAACCAUUAACAUAUAGCCACUUCUGAGCAG